CUUGCGGCGGUAAAGUACCAAACGUUUUUAAUGUUCAUUGAAAUUAACUGUUUUUUUGCCGAUAAACUCUUCAACUUAUUACUCGUACUUUGAAAUGAAAUAAAUUUAAGUCAUACUGGUCGCUCUUGAAAAUAUUUUUUCCUCAAAGAAACUUUCACAUAGUCAUAGAAUGAAAAGGAAAGCUGUACAUAUUAAUAAGGCAAAAACUCCGAAAACUGGACAGAAAAGUCAUACAUAAACAGUAAAAACAAACUUACCCUAUACUUCAGGAUUUCUCAUACUUUCUUUAAGAUUUCAAAGAGGUGAUUUACAACUUAUUGUGUGCAAAGAUGUCCAAACUUUCUGUCAUGCAUGUUUUUUAAUCUUUGCUUCCUUCACUUAUUUUUGAGAUCAGUGAGAUGACCACCCAUGCCAUAGAUUAACUUCAUCUGUGCCCAUGCAUAGCCAUGCGCCCGCAAUCAUUGGUGAACUUUAGACUUCGCUAAUGCUUUCCUUUCCCCCGGGGGUAAAUAGCCGAGCGGAAUUAGUACCCUCGCCACGGGCUUUGCCUUAGCGCGUGGCUCGGGGAUAAUGCCCUUACCUUGACUGCUUUAUCAGACGGGUUGGUAACAGUGUAAUUGAAUAUGAUCAUUGGAAUAGCACUGUCAUUGGCACAUAACGGAAUACAAGGAUUGAAUGCUUCUAGUUUAACAUGAACUGGAACUUCAUUGCUUGUAAAAUCAACUAAAUGCAAUAAAAAAAUUGUCGUUUAAUAGAGCAAACCUUUUAAACUUGG